rnacentral:rRNA from 1 species
AACGAACGCUGGCGGCAUGCUUAACACAUGCAAGUCGAACGAGAACUUCGGGUCUUGUGGCGCACGGGUGCGUAACGCCGGGGAACCUGCCCGUAGGUUCGGAACAACUCCCCGAAAGGGGUGCUAAUACCGGUGAAGCUCUUCGCACCAAAGAUCUAUCGCUUCGGGAUGGGCCUGCGUUGGAUUAGCUAGUUGGUAGGGUAAAAGCCUAUCAUGGCGACGAUCCAUAGCUGGUCUGGGAGGAUGAUCAGCCACACUGGGACUGAGACACGGCCCAGACGCGUACGGGGGGCAGCGGUGGGGAGUAUUAGACAAUGAAGGAGAGCCUAGUCCAGCAGUGCCGGGUGAGUGAUGAAGGCCUUAGGGUUGUAAAGCUCUUUUAGCCGGGAUGAUAAUGACGGUACCGGGUGAAUAAGCACCGGCUAACUCCGUG